AAAUCCUUCAUGACUCUACGUAGGCUGAAGCAGUCUAACACAAAGUGCUUGUGGUGUGGGUGCAAUGGGCACUGUAUCUUUAGGAGCUCGUUGAAUGAGGGCCUGUCUUGGUUCUUGCCGCCACUUUUCUUGGAUGACUGCUAGAUUGCCACGACAAUAUUGUCUGGCUUGCGCUUGCGGUUCUAACUUCCCAAGUAGUUAUUUCAGUUGUCAUUGGGGGCAAUCAUUGCGUUGACCAUUACUCUAGUUGUUGUUGUUCUGGCCCUUGUUGCGAUUGGACUCAA
rnacentral:lncRNA from 1 species